rnacentral:rRNA from 1 species
CGACUCCGUGAAGCUGGAUUCGCUAGUAAUCGCGCAUCAGCCAUGGCGCGGUGAAUACGUUCCCGGGCCUUGUACACACCGCCCGUCAAGCCAUGGAAGCCGGGAGUGCCUGAAGUAUGCAACCGCAAGGAGCGUCCUAAGGUAAAACCGGUGACUGGGGCUAAGUCGUAACAAGGUAUC